rnacentral:misc_RNA from 1 species
AAGUCGUAACAAGGUCUCCGUUGGUGAACCAGCGGAGGGAUCAUUACAGAGUUGCAAAACUCCUAAACCAUUGUGAACGUCACCAUUAAUCGUUGCUUCGGCGGGUGGUUCCCACUUGGGGUACCGCAUCUCCCCCUCGGGGGUAGGUAGCCCGCCGGAGGCGUCUCAACUCUCGUUUUAAUUGGCAUCUGAGUAACUUAUAAAUAAGUUAAAA